CUACGUGCCAGCAGCCGCGGUAAUACGGAAGGUCCAGGCGUUAUCCGGAUUUAUUGGGUUUAAAGGGUGCGUAGGCCGUUUGAUAAGCGUGCUGUGAAAUAUAGUGGCUCAACCUCUAUCGUGCAGCGCGAACUGUUGAACUUGAGUGCGUAGUAGGUAGGCGGAAUUCGUGGUGUAGCGGUGAAAUGCUUAGAUAUCACGAAGAACUCCGAUUGCGAAGGCAGCUUACCGUAACGUUACUGACGCUUAAGCACGAAGGUGCGGGUAUCGAACAGGAUUAGAUACCCUGGUAGUCCGCACAGUAAACGAUGGAUGCUCGCUGUUGGCCUAUUGUGGUCAGUGGCUUAGCGAAAGCGUUAAGCAUCCCACCUGGGGAGUACGCCGGCAACGGUGAAACUCAAAGGAAUUGACGGGGGCCCGCACAGGCGGAGGAACAUGUGGUUUAAUUCGAUGAUACGCGAGGAACCUUACCCGGGAUUGAA
rnacentral:rRNA from 1 species